rnacentral:rRNA from 1 species
CCAGACUCCUACGGGAGGCAGCAGUGAGGAAUAUUGGUCAAUGGUCGGGAGACUGAACCAGCCAAGCCGCGUGAGGGAGGAAGGUACAGAGUAUCGUAAACCUCUUUUGUCAGGGAGCAAAGGGCGCCACGUGUGGCGUUUUGCGAGUACCUGAAGAAAAAGCAUCGGCUAACUCCGUGCCAGCAGCCGCGGUAAUACGGAGGAUGCGAGCGUUAUCCGGAUUUAUUGGGUUUAAAGGGUGCGUAGGCGGAUUUUUAAGUCAGCGGUAAAAUGUCCGGGCUCAACCCGGGCCGGCCGUUGAAACUGGGGAUCUUGAGUGGGCGAGAAGUAUGCGGAAUGCGUGGUGUAGCGGUGAAAUGCAUAGAUAUCACGCAGAACUCCGAUUGCGAAGGCAGCAUACCGGCGCUCAACUGACGCUCAUGCACGAAAGCGUGGGUAUCGAACAGGAUUAGAUACCCUUGUAA